rnacentral:rRNA from 1 species
UAACCUGGGAAACUGGGGAUAAUACCGGAUAGGCAAUUAUUCCUGCAAUGGUUUUUUGUUUAAAUGUUUUUUCGCCUAAGGAUGGGUCUGCGGCCGAUUAGGUAGUUGGUUAGGUAAUGGCUUACCAAGCCGUUGAUCGGUACGGGUUGUGAGAGCAAGAGCCCGGAGAUGGAACCUGAGACAAGGUUCCAGGCCCUACGGGGUGCAGCAGGCGCGAAACCUCCGCAAUGUGAGAAAUCGCGACGGGGGGAUCCCAAGUGCCAUUCUUAACGGGAUGGCUUUUCAUUAGUGUAAAAAGCUUUUGGAAUAAGAGCUGGGCAAGACCGGUGCCAGCCGCCGCGGUAACACCGGCAGCUCUAGUGGUAGCAAUUUUUAUUGGGCCUAAAGCGUCCGUAGCCGGUUUAAUAAGUCUCUGGUGAAAUCCUGUAGCUUAACUGUGGGAAUUGCUGGAGAUACUAUUAGACUUGAGACCGGGAGAGGUUAGAGGUACUCCC